rnacentral:misc_RNA from 1 species
GAUGAAGAACGCAGCGAAAUGCGAUAAGUAAUGUGAAUUGCAGAAUUCAGUGAAUCAUCGAAUCUUUGAACGCACCUUGCGCUCCUUGGUAUUCCGAGGAGCAUGCCUGUUUGAGUGUCAUGAAAUUCUCAACCUUUUCAGCUUUCUUUGUUGAUCAGGCUUGGAUGUGGGAGUAUGCGGGCUUCUCAGAAGUCGGCUCUCCUGAAAUGCAUUAGCGGGACCUUUGUUGCCUGGCUUUGGUGUGAUAAUUAUCUACGCCAUUGUAGUCAAGCAGCUUAAAAUGAGGUUCCAGCUUCUAACCGUCUCCCCUGAGACAACUUUUUGACAAUUUGACCUCAAAUCAGGUAGGACUACCCGCUGAACUUAAGCAUAUCAAUAAGCGGAGGA